CUCGGUGGCCUGACCGGAGGGGUCACACCCGUUCCCAUCUCGAACACGGAAGUUAAGCCCUCCAGGGCCGAUGAUACUAUGCCUUUACAGGCAUGGGAAAGUAGGACGCCGCCGGGU
rnacentral:rRNA from 1 species